CUACAGCAGGGGUGGGCUCUUUAAGGUCUUUAAGCUCUUUAAGGGGUGGGAGUCUCAUAACUUCACUGGAGCCAGAGCAUGCCGAGAGAGGCAAACUCUUGGCGGUUUGGGGUUAUUCUCCACCGGUUCCUGGAGAUCCGAGGGUAGCAAGUGCCAAUGGCUGUGCUGGGGUCACAGAGCUUACAGAGCUCCUAUCUUAUCCACACCCAGGGCAUGGCGCCUUCUUCCCUGGCAGACAAGUAGGGAAUGGUCUUUGCCACUUCUCACCGUGGCCACUAGAGAGCGACAGUGCUCCAUCUUCUAGAAAGAAACCGUCCAAUCCCCGCGCCUUCUGCCGAGGAGCCUGGCGAGCCACCUCCCUGAACUUCAGGACUUUCAGUUUCACUCCCUUAUGGACCUGAGGGUGAUCACCAACCGGCGGGGCCUCUGGGGGUUCUACUUAACGCCGUUUUGGCAGCAGCUCACUGACUGCAAUGUGCCCAGCAUUUCCAAUGAAGAGGAGGUUCUGUGAAGCGCACAGCAGGUUCUGGUCAAGAAGGCAGCCUUUGGGCACCCACCUCAACAGACCCAAGGCAGCGGAUGGCCAAGAGAGCCCAGUGGAUUCUGCCCCAAAUAUCUCAUUUCCCUCUUAGUGUCACCUCUGCCAGCAUCACAGCUGGGGCACAGUCCUCUCUGCUCUAUCCUCACAGCACCUCACACGUACUAGGUACUCAGCAAAUGUUUCUGGAGUAUCUUUGUGUGCGUUAUGUGGUGCUGUUUUAUCAAACCCCUGAACAC
rnacentral:lncRNA from 10 species